CACGUAGGGUGCGAGCGUUGUCCGGAAUUAUUGGGCGUAAAGAGCUCGUAGGCGGUGUGUCGCGUCGGCCGUGAAAACCUGCAGCUUAACUGUGGGCGUGCGGUCGAUACGGGCAUCACUGGAGUUCGGCAGGGGAGAAUGGAAUUCCCGGUGUAGCGGUGAAAUGCGCAGAUAUCGGGAAGAACACCCGUGGCGAAGGCGGUUCUCUGGGACGGUACUGACGCUGAGACGCGAAAGCGUGGGGAGCGAACAGG
rnacentral:rRNA from 1 species